rnacentral:rRNA from 1 species
UACGGAGGGUGCAAGCGUUAUCCGGAUUUACUGGGUUUAAAGGGUGCGUAGGUGGGUAGGUAAGUCAGUGGUGAAAUCUUCGAGCUUAACUCGUAAACUGCCAUUGAUACUAUUUAUCUUGAAUACUCUGGAGGUAAGCGGAAUAUGUCAUGUAGCGGUGAAAUGCUUAGAUAUGACAUAGAACACCAAUUGCGAAGGCAGCUUACUACACAGUUAUUGACGCUGAGGCACGAAAGCGUGGGGAUCAAACAGG